rfam:Oryza glaberrima chromosome 5 Oglab05_0144_2, whole genome shotgun sequence.
UUUAAGUGUAACCUAAGUUUUCGCGUCCAACUUUAAUCAUCCGUCUUAUUUAAUUUUUUUAUAAUUAGUAUUUUUAUUAUUAUGAGAUGAUAAAACAUUAAUAGUAUUUUAUACGUAACUUAUAUUUUUAAAUUUUUAAAAAUAGUUUUAAAUAAGACAAACGGUCAAAGCUGUGCACGGAAAAUUAUGACUGCACUUAAA